rnacentral:rRNA from 1 species
CCCAGACUCCUACGGGAGGCAGCAGUGGGGGAUAUUGCACAAUGGGGGGAACCCUGAUGCAGCGACGCCGCGUGGGUGAAGGAGCGUUUCGGCGCGUAAAGCCCUAUCGGCAGGGAAGAAGGAGGACGGUACCUGACUAAGAAGCCCCGGCUAACUACGUGCCAGCAGCCGCGGUAAUACGUAGGGGGCAAGCGUUAUCCGGAUUUACUGGGUGUAAAGGGGGCGCAGACGGCAGCGCAAGCCAGGAGUGAAAGCCCGGGGCCCAACCCCGGGACUGCUCUUGGAACUGCGCGGCUGGAGUGCAGGAGGGGCAGGCGGAAUUCCUGGCGUAGCGGUGAAAUGCGUAGAUAUCAGGAGGAACACCGGUGGCGAAGGCGGCCUGCUGGACUGCGACUGACGUUGAGGCCCGAAAGCGUGGGGAGCAAACAGGAUUAGAUACCCCCGUA